rnacentral:rRNA from 1 species
CCGGCGACCGGCGCACGGGUGAGUAACACGUAUGAAACCUGCCCGUAGCAGGGGGAUAAGCGGAAGAAAUUCCGUCUAAUACCGCGUAACAACCCAUGGAGGCAUCUCUGUGGGUUUAAAGGAAGCGAUUCCGGCUACGGAUGGUCAUGCGUCGCAUUAGCUUGUUGGCGGGGUAACGGCCCACCAAGGCGACGAUGCGUAGGGGUUCUGAGAGGAAGGUCCCCCACCACUGGUACUGAGACACGGACCAGACUCCUACGGAAGGCAGCAG